rnacentral:rRNA from 1 species
GAUGAACGCUGGCGGCGUGCCUAAUACAUGCAAGUCGUGCGGCAGCAUGCCCUUCGGGGUGAUGGCGAGCGGCGGACGGCUGAGUAACACGUGGGAAUCCACCCCGAAGUGAGGGAUAACUGCCCGAAAGGGUAGCUAAUACCGCAUAUGGUCUUCGGAUUAAAGCUUUUAGCGCUUCGGGAGGAGCCCGCGUUCGAUUAGUUUGUUGGUGGGGUAAUGGCUCACCAAGACGAUGAUCGAUAGCUGGUCUGAGAGGAUGAUCAGCCAGACUGGAACUGAGACACGGUCCAGACUCCUACGGGAGGCAGCAGUAAGGAAUAUUCCACAAUGGGGGAAACCCUGAUGGAGCAACGCCGCGUGGAGGAUGAAGGCCUUCGGGUUGUAAACCUCUUUUCUAUGCGAAGAAUAUGACGGUAACAUAGGAAUAAGGGUCUGCUAACUACGUGCCAGCAGCCGCGGUAA